rnacentral:rRNA from 1 species
UACGUAGGGGGCAAGCGUUGUUCGGAAUUACUGGGCGUAAAGAGCGCGCAGGCGGUCGUUCAAGUCGAGUGUGAAAGCCCCCGGCUCAACUGGGGAGGGUCAUUCGAUACUGAUCGACUCGAAGGCAGGAGAGGGUAGUGGAAUUCCCGGUGUAGUGGUGAAAUGCGUAGAUAUCGGGAGGAACACCAGUGGCGAAGGCGACUACCUGGCCUGUUCUUGACGCUGAGGCGCGAAAGCUAGGGGAGCAAACGGG